rnacentral:rRNA from 1 species
AAAUUGAAGAGUUUGAUCAUGGCUCAGAUUGAACGCUGGCGGCAGGCCUAACACAUGCAAGUCGAACGGUAACAGGAAGAAGCUUGCUUCUUUGCUGACGAGUGGCGGACGGGUGAGUAAUGUCUGGGAAACUGCCUGAUGGAGGGGGAUAACUACUGGAAACGGUAGCUAAUACCGCAUAACGUCGCAAGACCAAAGAGGGGGACCUUCGGGCCUCUUGCCAUCGGAUGUGCCCAGAUGGGAUUAGCUAGUAGGUGGGGUAACGGCUCACCUAGGCGACGAUCCCUAGCUGGUCUGAGAGGAUGACCAGCCACACUGGAACUGAGACACGGUCCAGACUCCUACGGGAGGCAGCAGUGGGGAAUAUUGCACAAUGGGCGCAAGCCUGAUGCAGCCAUGCCGCGUGUAUGAAGAAGGCCUUCGGGUUGUAAAGUACUUUCAGCGGGAGGAAGGAGUAAAGUUAAUACCUUUGCUCAUUGACGUUACCCGCAGAAGAAGCACCGGCUAACUCCGUGCCAGCAGCCGCGGUAAUACGGAGGGUGCAAGCGUUAAUCGGAAUUACUGGGCGUAAAGCGCACGCAGGCGGUUUGUUAAGUCAGAUGUGAAAUCCCCGGGCUCAACCUGGGAACUGCAUCUGAUACUGGCAAGCUUGAGUCUCGUAGAGGGGGGUAGAAUUCCAGGUGUAGCGGUGAAAUGCGUAGAGAUCUGGAGGAAUACCGGUGGCGAAGGCGGCCCCCUGGACGAAGACUGACGCUCAGGUGCGAAAGCGUGGGGAGCAAACAGGAUUAGAUACCCUGGUAGUCCACGCCGUAAACGAUGUCGACUUGGAGGUUGUGCCCUUGAGGCGUGGCUUCCGGAGCUAACGCGUUAAGUCGACCGCCUGGGGAGUACGGCCGCAAGGUUAAAACUCAAAUGAAUUGACGGGGGCCCGCACAAGCGGUGGAGCAUGUGGUUUAAUUCGAUGCAACGCGAAGAACCUUACCUGGUCUUGACAUCCACGGAAGUUUUCAGAGAUGAGAAUGUGCCUUCGGGAACCGUGAGACAGGUGCUGCAUGGCUGUCGUCAGCUCGUGUUGUGAAAUGUUGGGUUAAGUCCCGCAACGAGCGCAACCCUUAUCCUUUGUUGCCAGCGGUCCGGCCGGGAACUCAAAGGAGACUGCCAGUGAUAAACUGGAGGAAGGUGGGGAUGACGUCAAGUCAUCAUGGCCCUUACGACCAGGGCUACACACGUGCUACAAUGGCGCAUACAAAGAGAAGCGACCUCGCGAGAGCAAGCGGACCUCAUAAAGUGCGUCGUAGUCCGGAUUGGAGUCUGCAACUCGACUCCAUGAAGUCGGAAUCGCUAGUAAUCGUGGAUCAGAAUGCCACGGUGAAUACGUUCCCGGGCCUUGUACACACCGCCCGUCACACCAUGGGAGUGGGUUGCAAAAGAAGUAGGUAGCUUAACCUUCGGGAGGGCGCUUACCACUUUGUGAUUCAUGACUGGGGUGAAGUCGUAACAAGGUAACCGUAGGGGAACCUGCGGUUGGAUCACCUCCUUACCUUAAAGAAGC